GGAACAGUGGCUUAGUGGUUAGCACGUUUGAUUCACAGCUCUGUGGUUGGGGGUUCGAUUCCCACCUCUUUAA